CCUUAGACAUUGGGAUAGCCUCGGGAAACCGGGAUUAAUACCAAAUAAAAAUCAUAAUGACACAUGUCAUAACGAUCAAAACUCCGGUGGUCUAAGAUGGACUCGCGUCCCAUUAGCUAGUUGGUAGAGUAAAAGCCUACCAAGGCGACGAUGGGUAGCCGGCCUGAGAGGGUGAACGGCCACAUUGGAACUGAGAAACGGUCCAA
rnacentral:rRNA from 1 species